GCAAGUCGAACGAACCUUCGGGUUAGUGGCGGACGGGUGAGUAACGCGUGAGGAUCUGCCUAAAGGACCGGGACAACAGCUAGAAAUGGCUGCUAAAACCGGAUGUGCCGAGAGGUGAAAUAUUAAUAGCCUUUAGAUGAACUCGCGUCUGAUUAGCUAGUUGGUGGAGUAACGGUUUACCAAGGCGACGAUCAGUAGCUGGUCUGAGAGGACGAUC
rnacentral:rRNA from 1 species